rnacentral:lncRNA from 1 species
CUCUUUUUCUUUCCCAUUGAAAUAUGCCUGUAUUGGAAACAGGUGCCUUCAUGGGGAGGUAGAUAGCGUGCUUAAGAGAAAAAGGUGGUGCAUGUGAUUGCCAUAUCACCUUCAGAGAUUCUUUCUAGAAGACACGCACAUGCUGUCUACAUUUCAGAUGGCCAAGCCAAUCGUGAGUCAGCUCUGCAGGGAAGCCUGCUCCCCCUGCACUGGCCUGUGAUGCCUCAAGGAGGAGGCUGGACCUGGAGGAAGAGGAACCUCUGUGCUCCCUGAAGGCUCCCUGAGAAUCUUCU